AUCGUUUUUUUGAUGAAAAAUUCGGGUUUCAGCCCCCAAAUACAAAAAAAAAAAAAGAUCAGGGGUAGUAUCUGUUCUUCUAAGUUUAAUACCGGGGACGGAAACAAUUCGUUUCCUCUAUGAAUAAAUCGGAUUUUUAAACUUGAAGUAUGGGGCUGAAGCUUGCUCCACCCUGCUCACGGGUUGUCCUGGAAUUGCAGAACCUCCAGGUUCGGCUCACGUUUC
rnacentral:snRNA from 1 species